rnacentral:rRNA from 1 species
GAUGAACGCUGGCGGCGUGCCUAAUACAUGCAAGUCGAGCGAACGGACGAGAAGCUUGCUUCUCUGAUGUUAGCGGCGGACGGGUGAGUAACACGUGGAUAACCUACCUAUAAGACUGGGAUAACUUCGGGAAACCGGAGCUAAUACCGGAUAAUAUUUUGAACCGCAUGGUUCAAAAGUGAAAGACGGUCUUGCUGUCACUUAUAGAUGGAUCCGCGCUGCAUUAGCUAGUUGGUAAGGUAACGGCUUACCAAGGCAACGAUGCAUAGCCGACCUGAGAGGGUGAUCGGCCACACGAGAACUGAGACACGGUCCAGACUCCUACGGGAGGCAGCAGUAGGGAAUCUGCCGCAAUGGGCGAAAGCCUGACGGAGCAACGCCGCGUGAGUGAUGAAGGUCUUCGGAUCGUAAAACUCUGUUAUUAGGGAAGAACAUAUGUGUAAGUAACUGUGCACAUCUUGACGGUACCUAAUCAGAAAGCCACGGCUAACUACGUG